GAUGAACGCUGGCGGCGUGCCUAAUACAUGCAAGUCGAGCGAACAGACGAGGAGCUUGCUCCUCUGACGUUAGCGGCGGACGGGUGAGUAACACGUGGAUAACCUACCUAUAAGACUGGGAUAACUUCGGGAAACCGGAGCUAAUACCGGAUAAUAUAUUGAACCGCAUGGUUCAAUAGUGAAAGACGGUUUUGCUGUCACUUAUAGAUGGAUCCGCGCCGCAUUAGCUAGUUGGUAAGGUAACGGCUUACCAAGGCGACGAUGCGUAGCCGACCUGAGAGGGUGAUCGGCCACACUGGAACUGAGACACGGUCCAGACUCCUACGGGAGGCAGCAGUAGGGAAUCUUCCGCAAUGAGCGAAAGCUUGACGGAGCAACGCCGCGUGAGUGAUGAAGGUCUUCGGAUCGUAAAACUCUGUUAUUAGGGAAGAACAAAUGUGUAAGUAACUAUGCACGUCUUGACGGUACCUAAUCAGAAAGCCACGGCUAACUACGUG
rnacentral:rRNA from 1 species